rnacentral:rRNA from 1 species
AACGAACGCUGGCGGCAGGCUUAACACAUGCAAGUCGAGCGCCCCGCAAGGGGAGCGGCAGACGGGUGAGUAACGCGUGGGAACGUACCUUUUGGUUCGGAACAACUCCGGGAAACUGGAGCUAAUACCGGAUAAGCCCUAACGGGGAAAGAUUUAUCGCCGAAAGAUCGGCCCGCGUCUGAUUAGCUAGUUGGUGAGGUAACGGCUCACCAAGGCGACGAUCAGUAGCUGGUCUGAGAGGAUGAUCAGCCACACUGGGACUGAGACACGGCCCAGACUCCUACGGGAGGCAGCAGUGGGGAAUAUUGGACAAUGGGCGCAAGCCUGAUCCAGCCAUACCGCGUGAGUGAUGAAGGCAUUAGGGUUGUAAAGCUCUUUUGUCCGGGAAGAUAAUGACUGUACCGGAAGAAUAAGCCCCGGCUAACUUCGUG